AAUCAACGCUGGCGGCGUGCCUAACACAUGCAAGUCGAACGCGAAAGUCCCGCAAGGGAUAAGUAGAGUGGCAAACGGGUGAGUAACACGUGGGUGACCUGCCUUCGAGUGGGGGAUAACGUCCCGAAAGGGACGCUAAUACCGCAUAACAUCCUGCCUUUGAAGAGGUGGAGAUCAAAGCUGGGGACCGCAAGGCCUGGCACUGGAAGAGGGGCCCGCGUCUGAUUAGCAGUUGGUGAGGUAACGGCUCACCAAGGCUACGAUCAGUAUCCGGCCUGAGAGGGCGGACGGACACACUGGGACUGAGACACGGCCCAGACUCCUACGGGAGGCAGCAGU
rnacentral:rRNA from 1 species